GUGCACUCCAGCUGCACAUACAUUAAAACUCAACAAUACAGAAGAUUGGCCUGGCACCCGAACAAGGAUGACGUGCAGAUUCGCGACAUGCUACAUAUCUUU